rnacentral:rRNA from 1 species
GACGAACGCUGGCGGCGUGCUUAACACAUGCAAGUCGAACGGAAAGGCCCUGCUUUUGUGGGGUGCUCGAGUGGCGAACGGUUGAGUAACACGUGAGUAACCUGCCCUUGACUUUGGGAUAACUUCAGGAAACUGGGGCUAAUACCGGAUAGGAGCUCCUGCUGCAUGGUGGGGGUUGGAAAGUUUCGGCGGUUGGGGAUGGACUCGCGGCUUAUCAGCUUGUUGGUGGGGUAGUGGCUUACCAAGGCUUUGACGGGUAGCCGGCCUGAGAGGGUGACCGGCCACAUUGGGACUGAGAUACGGCCCAGACUCCUAUGGGAGGCAGCAGUGGGGAAUAGUGCACAAUGGGCGGAAGCCUGAUGCAGCAACGCCGCGUGCGGGAUGACGGCCUUCGGGUUGUAAACCGCUUUCGCCUGUGACGAAGCGUGAGUGACGGUAAUGGGUAAAGAAGCACCGGCUAACUACGUG